rnacentral:rRNA from 1 species
CGAAGCGUGAGUGACGGUAAUGGGUAAAGAAGCNCCGGCUAACUACGUGCCAGCAGCCGCGGUGAUACGUAGGGUGCGAGCGUUGUCCGGAUUUAUUGGGCGUAAAGGGCUCGUAGGUGGUUGAUCGCGUCGGAAGUGUAAUCUUGGGGCUUAACCCUGAGCGUGCUUUCGAUACGGGUUGACUUGAGGAAGGUAGGGGAGAAUGGAAUUCCUGGUGGAGCGGUGGAAUGCGCAGAUAUCAGGAGGAACACCAGUGGCGAAGGCGGUUCUCUGGGCCUUUCCUGACGCUGAGGAGCGAAAGCGUGGGGAGCGAACAGGCUUAGAUACCCUGGUAGUCCACGCUGUAAACGGUGGGUACUAGGUGUGGGGUCCAUUCCACGGGUUCCGUGCCGUAGCUAACGCUUUAAGUACCCCGCCUGGGGAGUACGGCCGCAAGGCUAAAACUCAAAGGAAUUGACGGGGCCCCGCACAAGCGGCGGAGCAUGCGGAUUAAUUCGAUGCAACGCGUAGAACCUUACCUGGGUUUGACAUGGAUCGGGAGUGCUCAGAGAUGGGUGUGCCUCUUUUGGGGUCGGUUCACAGGUGGUGCAUGGCUGUCGUCAGCUCGUGUCGUGAGAUGUUGGGUUAAGUCCCGCAACGAGCGCAACCCUUGUUCACUGUUGCCAGCACGUUAUGGUGGGGACUCAGUGGAGACCGCCGGGGUCAACUCGGAGGAAGGUGGGGAUGACGUCAAGUCAUCAUGCCCCUUAUGUCCAGGGCUUCACGCAUGCUACAAUGGCUGGUACAGAGAGUGGCGAGCCUGUGAGGGUGAGCGAAUCUCGGAAAGCCGGUCUCAGUUCGGAUUGGGGUCUGCAACUCGACCUCAUGAAGUCGGAGUCGCUAGUAAUCGCAGAUCAGCAACGCUGCGGUGAAUACGUUCCCGGGA